rnacentral:rRNA from 1 species
UGGGGAAUCUUGGACAAUGGGGGCAACCCUGAUCCAGCCAUGCCGCGUGAGUGAUGAAGGCCUUAGGGUCGUAAAGCUCUUUCGCCUGUGAAGAUAAUGACGGUAGCAGGUAAAGAAACCCCGGCUAACUCCGUGCCAGCAGCCGCGGUAAUACGGAGGGGGUUAGCGUUGUUCGGAAUUACUGGGCGUAAAGCGCACGUAGGCGGACUGGAAAGUUGGGGUGAAAUCCCAGGGCUCAACCCUGGAACUGCCUCCAAAACUAUCAGUCUAGAGUUCGAGAGAGGUGAGUGGAAUUCCGAGUGUAGAGGUGAAAUUCGUAGAUAUUCGGAGGAACACCAGUGGCGAAGGCGGCUCACUGGCUCGAUACUGACGCUGAGGUGCGAAAGUGUGGGGAGCAAACAGGAUUAGAUACCCUGGUAGUCCACACCGUAAACGAUGAAUGCCAGUCGUCGGGUAGCAUGCUAUUCGGUGACACACCUAACGGAUUAAGCAUUCCGCCUGGGGAGUACGGUCGCAAGAUU